ACUUUAAUUGAAGAGUUUGAUCAUGGCUCAGAUUGAACGCUGGCGGCAGGCCUAACACAUGCAAGUCGAGCGGCAGC
rnacentral:rRNA from 1 species